CAUGAUGCCGAAAAGUGUGAGCGGUUUUCGGGCGACAUCAUGCUCUAACUCUUUAAUGUAGAACAGGAUUCAGAUUUUAGGCCCAC
rnacentral:sRNA from 2 species